AGUUGACUAGGAUGAUAUUUAUUCAGCUUUUGCCAGUUCUGCUUCUGAGAAUUCUUGAUUGAUAAAGCUGUUACAUAUUCUGAGCCUCU
rfam:Lupinus angustifolius cultivar Tanjil contig_6774, whole genome shotgun sequence.